rnacentral:rRNA from 11 species
CUGGCGGCGGGCUUAACACAUGCAAGUCGAAGGAGAAGGAAAGAGCUUGCUCUUUCUGGAGACUGGCGGACGGGUGAGUAACGCGUAGCUAACCUGCCUUUAACUGGGGGAUAACAUUCCGAAAGGGGUGCUAAUACCGCAUAAAGCAACUGAGUCGCAUGACUCUAGUUGUUAAAGGUUUCGACCGGUUAAAGAGGGGGCUGCGUGCUAUUAGUUAGUUGGUGAGGUAACGGCUCACCAAGGCGAUGAUAGCUAGGGGGUCUGAGAGGAUGAUCCCCCACACUGGGACUGAGACACGGCCCAGACUCCUACGGGAGGCAGCAGUGAGGAAUCUUGCGCAAUGGGCGAAAGCCUGACGCAGCCACGCCGCGUGCCGGAUGAAGGCCCUAUGGGUUGUAAACGGCUUUUAAGCAGGAAGAACGACCGGAUUUCGAUCUGGUGUGACGGUACUGCUUGAAUAAGCACCGGCUAACUCCGUGCCAGCAGCCGCGGUAAUACGGAGGGUGCAAGCGUUGUCCGGAAUCAUUGGGUGUAAAGGGUGCGUAGGCGGGCGUCUAAGUCUGGGGUGAAAUCUUGCCGCUUAACGGUAAAAUGGCCUUGGAUACUGGGCGUCUUGAGUGUAGAAGAGGUAAGUGGAAUUCGUAGUGUAGCGGUGAAAUGCAUAGAUAUUACGAAGAACAUCAGUGGCGAAGGCGGCUU